UUAGAAUUUAAAAUUAAACACCUAGUCAUAGUUUUAACUAAAUUAAAAUUGCCAGUACAAACCACUUUGGAUAUACCCAAACGUAGGAGGGAAGAAAAUGAUCUUGAUACACUCAUUUAUAUACCCAAAGACCAUAUAAAAUCACUACCUAGUACAAAUUUAGAUAUAUCAAGUAUUACAUUUAAUAAAAAUGAUGAUAGUCAACAAAAUGAACAUACCAAAUCACUAAUUAAUAUAGAAAAUCAAAAUUUUAAUGAUGAACUUGAUAUCAUAAGCAACAAUUUACCACCCACAUCAGAAAAUCAAAAUUUUAAUGAUGAACUUGAUACCAUAAGCAACAAUUUACCACCCACAUCAGAAAAUCAGAAUUUUAAUGAUGAACUUGAUACCAUAAGCAACAAUUUACCACUCACCUCAGAAAUACCUAGAUACUCUAUAAAAAAUUAUGAUAAAUC